rnacentral:lncRNA from 1 species
AACUUUAGUAUAAGUAAAAAGAAAUCAAUAAAAUUUUAACACAAUGUUUAUAACCGCAAAAGGAAGGUUGAGAUUUUGGGGGUUAUGGUCCCAUCGGUUUAGGAAUUAGGGGUCCAAAGGGGCACAAAACAUACAUUUAUCUAGUUUCAGGACAAUAAGUUGUGUAUUAGUAUUUCAAUUACUCUGAAAUUGUAACACAAUGUUCAUACCAUUAAGUAGAAGGUUGGGAUUUAUUUUCAGGGUUAUGGGGCAAACAGUCUAGGAAUUAAGGGCCAAAAAGGGGCCAAAAACAAGCAUUUUUGGUGUUUCGGGACAAUAACUUGUUUAACUGAAUGGAUCUCUCUGACAUUGUACCACAAGGUUCCAUAUAAAGAAGAGAAGACUUGGUGUCAGUUUGGGGUUAAUAUCCCUGAACAUUUAGGAAUAAGGG